GACGAACGCUGGCGGCGUGCCUAAUACAUGCAAGUCGAACGAGUGGCGGACAGGGUAGUAAUGAUUGGGUAUCUGGCUUGUGGAGGGGGAUAACUACGGGAAACUGUAGCUAAAACGGCGUAACUUAUCAUGAGCCCUAGUGGGAUUAGGUAGUUGGUGAGGUAACGGCUCACCAAGCCGACGAUCUCUAGCUGGUCUGAGAGGAUGACCAGCCACACUGGGACUGAGACACGGCCCAGACUCCUACGGGAGGCAGCAGUGGGGAAUAUUGCGCAAUGGGGGCAACCUGACGCAGCCAUGCCGCGUGUAUGAAGAAGGCCUUCGGGUUGUAAAGUUCUUUCGGUAGCGAGGCGUUAACUACAGAAGAAGCACCGGCUAACUCCGUGCCAGCAGCCGCGGUAAUAC
rnacentral:rRNA from 1 species